CCUACGGGUGGCAGCAGUGGGGGAUAUUGCACAAUGGGGGAAACCCUGAUGCAGCGACGCCGCGUGAGUGAAGAAGGAUUUCGGUAUGUAAAGCUCUAUCAGCAGGGAAGAAAAUGACAGUACCUGACCAAGAAGCCCCGGCUAACUACGUGCCAGCAGCCGCGGUAAUACGUAGGGGGCAAGCGUUAUCCGGAUUUACUGGGUGUAAAGGGAGCGUAGACGGUUAGGUAGGUGUGGAGUGAAAGCCCGGGGCCCAACCCCGGGAGUGCUUUGGAAAAUGUGUGAGUGGAGUACAGGCGGGGCAGGCGGAAUUCCGGGUGUAGCGGUGAAAUGCGUAGAGAUCAGGAAGAACACCGGCGGCGAAGGCGGCCUACUAGACUGAAACUGACGUUGAGGCUCGAAAGCGUGGGGAGCAAACAGGAUUAGAUACCCUAGUAGUC
rnacentral:rRNA from 1 species